rnacentral:misc_RNA from 1 species
ACGGUAAAAUCGGCCACCUUUACACCCCGGGAGACAUCGACGACUGCUUAAGCAAGCUGAAGCCUCUGUUGGAGAAUCGUGAACUGAGGGAAACAAUGGGGAAAGCAGCUCGUGAGGAGAUGGAGAAAUACGACUGGAAAGCCGCAACUCGAACGAUUCGCAACGAACAAUACAAUGCAGCCAUAUGGUUCUGGCGCAAGAAAAGAGCACAGUUUCUAAGACCAUUUCAAUGGCUGUUUAAACGAAUUUUCCCAUCCCCAGAAGUUAGUUAUCAGUGAAAUGCUUCAUUCAG